rnacentral:lncRNA from 1 species
GUUUAUUUGGUAGUCUGGUCCUAGCCUCGUCACUACUUCACCGAGGUUAGGCUAGGCACUUACCAGCAGAUGAGAUCGGUUGUGUUGACACUACACUCUACACUGUGUGCAGAUUCUGGUGUUGUACUUUUGGACUGCAGUGAGGUUUCUAUCUUUAGUCCAACGGGCGACCCGAGAUAGUCCUGUAGGCAUCCACAUGCCUUCGCGUCUUCUUGUG